rnacentral:rRNA from 1 species
UACGAAGGGGGCUAGCGUUGCUCGGAAUCACUGGGCGUAAAGCGCACGUAGGCGGGUCUUUAAGUCAGGGGUGAAAUCCUGGAGCUCAACUCCAGAACUGCCUUUGAUACUGAGGAUCUCGAGUCCGGGAGAGGUGAGUGGAACUCCGAGUGUAGAGGUGAAAUUCGUAGAUAUUCGCAAGAACACCAGUGGCGAAGGCGGCUCACUGGCCCGGUACUGACGCUGAGGUGCGAAAGCGUGGGGAGCAAACAGG